CAGCCGCCACGGUAAUACGUAGGGUGCGAGCGUUAAUCGGAAUUACUGGGCGUAAAGCGUGCGCAGGCGGUUAUAUAAGACAGAUGUGAAAUCCCCGGGCUCAACCUGGGACCUGCAUUUGUGACUGUAUAGCUAGAGUACGGUAGAGGGGGACGGAAUUCCGCGUGUAGCAGUGAAAUGCGUAGAUAUGCGGAGGAACACCGAUGGCGAAGGCAAUCCCCUGGACCUGUACUGACGCUCAUGCACGAAAGCGUGGGGAGCAAACAGGAUUAGAUACCCCUGUAGUCCCUGUCUCUUAUAC
rnacentral:rRNA from 1 species